rnacentral:tRNA from 1 species
GCCGAGGUGGCUCAGUGGUUAGAGCGCGUGAAUUUACUGACCAGAAGGUUUGCGGUUCGAACCCGACCUCUGCA